UACAGAGGGUGCGAGCGUUGUCCGGAAUCACUGGGCGUAAAGGGCGCGUAGGUGGCGCGACAAGUCAGUGGUGAAAGUUCGACGCUUAACGUCGAAUCGGCCACUGAUACUGUUGGGCUUGAGCACUGUAGAGGCUAAUGGAAUUCCGGGUGUAGCGGUGGAAUGCGUAGAGAUCCGGAAGAACACCAGUGGCGAAGGCGGUUAGCUGGGCAGUUGCUGACACUGAGGCGCGACAGCGUGGGGAGCAAACAGG
rnacentral:rRNA from 1 species